rnacentral:rRNA from 1 species
GACGAACGCUGGCGGCGUGCCUAAUACAUGCAAGUAGAACGCACAGUUUAUACCGUAGCUUGCUACACCAUAGACUGUGAGUUGCGAACGGGUGAGUAACGCGUAGGUAACCUGCCUGGUAGCGGGGGAUAACUAUUGGAAACGAUAGCUAAUACCGCAUAAUAUUAAUUAUUGCAUGAUAAUUAAUUGAAAGGUGCAAUUGCACCACUACCAGAUGGACCUGCGUUGUAUUAGCUAGUAGGUGAGGUAACGGCUCACCUAGGCGACGAUACAUAGCCGACCUGAGAGGGUGAUCGGCCACACUGGGACUGAGACACGGCCCAGACUCCUACGGGAGGCAGCAGAAGGGAAUCUUCGGCAAUGGACGAAAGUCUGACCGAGCAACGCCGCGUGAGUGAAGAAGGUUUUCGGAUCGUAAAGCUCUGUUGUAAGAGAAGAACGGGUGUGAGAGUGGAAAGUUCACACUGUGACGGUAUCUGACCAGAAAGGGACGGCUAACUACGUG